GACGAACGCUGGCGGCGUGCCUAAUACAUGCAAGUAGAACGCACAGUUUAUACCGUAGCUUGCUACACCAUAGACUGUGAGUUGCGAACGGGUGAGUAACGCGUAGGUAACCUGCCUGGUAGCGGGGGAUAACUAUUGGAAACGAUAGCUAAUACCGCAUAAUAUUAAUUAUUGCAUGAUAAUUAAUUGAAAGGUGCAAUUGCACCACUACCAGAUGGACCUGCGUUGUAUUAGCUAGUAGGUGAGGUAACGGCUCACCUAGGCGACGAUACAUAGCCGACCUGAGAGGGUGAUCGGCCACACUGGGACUGAGACACGGCCCAGACUCCUACGGGAGGCAGCAGUAGGGAAUCUUCGGCAAUGGACGAAAGUCUGACCGAGCAACGCCGCGUGAGUGAAGAAGGGUUUCGGAUCGUAAAGCUCUGUUGUAGGAGAAGAACGGGUGUGAGAGUGGAAAGUUCACACUGUGACGGUAGCUUACCAGAAAGAGACGGCUAACUACGUG
rnacentral:rRNA from 1 species